AUUAUAGGUACAUGGAGUAUAUCGAUGACGUUUAAAAGAGUUACCAACAGCUUUACACAGAUUGUUUGGCUUGAUGUAGUAUUUGACAAGGACAAUUAUAAUGCAUAUGACUACAUACUAAACACCUGAAUGAUGUAGUUUUUUUUAUUGUAUGGAACAUUUAUAUAAAAGAAUGACCAUAGUACUUAUCAAAUUUAUGAAGAUUACUUUUGUCAAAAUGCUUUUCAUUGUUUUAUAUAAUCUGAAGUUAGAUUAAGCUGUGUCUUUUUCAUGCUUAAAAACAAUAGAUAACUGAAAUUUGUAUAUUGCGUGUAUUUUAUAACUUCAGAUGAGUACAUAUGUGGUGUUGCCUUUUCGGUAUUUA
rnacentral:lncRNA from 1 species